rnacentral:rRNA from 1 species
CCCUAGUAGGACACCAGGCGAGCGGCGGCGGCGGCGGCGUGGUUAGCCAUGUCUUCUCUUCUCAGCCCACCAAAGCCAGAAAUCGAGUUCAAAGAGGCGGAGGGGAAGGAGGAAAGAAGAUGGAAAGCGAGUCCGCUAUGGGGACGGAGGGGGAAUCCGGCAAGGAGCAGGAUUUGCUGUUGGAUCCGGGGAGGAAACUCGGGAAGAUGGAAAUCGAGUUAGGGAAGUGGACGGAGCAGGCUUCCGGCAAGGAGCAGGAGACGGUGCGGGAUCUGAAGAAGAGGCACAGGAAACUCAGUAAGAAUCGUAGGUACCUCUUGCAAGAUAUCGUCUCAGGGAAGUUUAAGGAAUUGUAUUCCGAUUCCGGCCGCAACAGGGUAAUGGGGAUUUUCAGGGAAGCCGAGGAGCUGGACAAGGAGUUGAUGAUUAUUAAGGAGAAGGAGAAGGAGAAGCAGGAGACGGUGGUGGAUUCCGGCGAGGAGGAGAUGGGCAGGGAUUCGGCGCGGCACCAGUCCCUGAUGGAGGGGCAACUCAGGAAGGAGCAGGAGAGACUCAGGAAGGUUCGGUACCAACUCAAGAAGAAGAUGAGGAGCGAGUCCGACAAGGACCCGGCGAUGCAGAGGAUGCUCUUGAGUCAGCAGCAGAUACUCUGGACCAAGGAGCAAGCACUCUUGACGGUGAUGAGGCAGUCCGGGAUGGGGAUGGGGAUGGGGAUGGAGAUGGAGAUGGAGAUGGAGAUGGAUUCUGAUUCUGAUUCUGAUUCUGGCUCUGGCUCCGGCUCCGGUUCCGGCCAUGAGAUGGACGAGAGGGAUUCCAGCAAGGAGCCGGUGAGGGAUGCCGGCGGCAAAGAGGGGCAGAUGGCCAAUGACUUGGUUGGUGUUCUUUCCGGCCACCUUGGGAUGCUUAAGAGGGAGAUCUCGUUCCUGAGGACAGAGGUCAAGUCCCGGGGAUUGGCUGGAAACAGGGCUUGUCAAGAGCAGAUCAUGUCUAACCUAAGGCCCCUCGAUGAAAAUCUUCUCAAGAAGGUGAAUUUGCCUUACCUAGGUUCCAACACUGAGGAGGUGAUGGAUUUUCUGCUGGUCGAGACGCAGCAGUUGCUCUACCGCUUCAACUCUCUCGCAUCCAUUCUACAAAAACUCAGAAUCCCCAUAUCUUCCGACAAGAUUGAUAAGCUGCGUCUCAUAUCCAAUGCACUUGUGGGCAUCUCGGAGCUUAUCAAGAGGCACAAAUCUGUUGCUGCUGACAAGCAAGAUGGUGAAGAUCGUUUGGACUGUGCCGGCUGGGAGGCUACAUGGGGAAGCUCGACAGGAAGACAUGGUUGCUUUGACGACAUAACAACAUUGAGUCCUAUGCAGUUUACGGCUUCCACACCUGGAAGCUUCCCAUCAUCGUCCGUGGCUGGUCCCGCCUUGGAGAUCUACUCAAUCAAGCUCAUUAAUCUGAAUCCUAAUCUGAGUUGGCCCAUUGAUGUCUAUGGUGUGGUCGCUGCACGGGAUGAUUUUGACCACAACCGCAACAUUCUCUUCUGCCGGUCAAGUGCAGACUGCCAAAGAAUUAACCAAGAGGACCCUUUUUUGCACUUGAUUGGCCCGUCUCGUGCAAUUGUAGCUGAAGAACCUGUGAUGUUUCAAAUUGAACUGAAAUUGAAGUAUGGAGCAAAUUUCAAAGAUACAGCAUCGUUCACUUCCAACCAAAGUUAUCGCUCCAUCAUGCCAUAUGAUACCAUGCAGAUCUAUAACCGCUGUUGUACAGCAGAGAUAAGCCUCGGGCGAGUUGCUCCAGCAAUCCAGGCCACAAUUGUAGGUGUUUGUGUGACUAAAGGGGAGUGGCCUUUUAAGUAUGGAUGUAAAGUUUCUUGCUUCUUUUCUCCUGCUGAUGCAACGGAGGGAUGCGAGGCAGAAGUCGUUUUGCUUGACCGCCGUGCUAAAAGGAUGCGUGCGGGAUCAGAUGGGUAUCUUUCUUUGUCAAGAAAUGUCGUGUCAGUGGGAUUGCAGGGCACACUCCGAGUCGUCACAGAAGCAUACUCAGAGUCCGGACUCAAUAUUGUUCGAAAAUAUCACGCUGAAUUUCCUAUCCAGCAGAGUCAGAUAGAUAGUCGUGAGUGCUCAGUUGACGGCUCCACAUUGAAGAUAGUUGUUGCUUGGUCUCGCCUUGUCAUUGACAAGGAUGAUCUUGUACUCGAUGGUUAUUGAAGGAGGAACUGAGGAUGCACAAAGGAACAAUGGAGCUGGUGGUGCUGUGUGUUAAUUCCUUAGUUUAGAAUGGAGCUGGUGGUGGCAUGAAGACGUGGUUCCUUAGUUUAGAAUGUUGAAUCGUGAUGAUGUCUAGUUUGAAAGACGAGAAUUAUCAUAUGGUAGUACUGCUGAUGACUAAAAAACUAUGCAUGUUGAGGACUUUGUCCAUGGUUUGAUUCUGUGGGUUGAGAGCUACUGUAAUUUGGUUGGCUUCCUCGACAUUAUGCCUGUGAAUUUUUUGU